rnacentral:tRNA from 1 species
GGGCCAGUGGCGCAACGGAGAACGCGUCUGACUACGGAUGAGAAGACUGCAGGUUCGACUCCUGCCUGGCUUG